UAACAUAACGUUCCUCAGGGUAGGGAGCUAAACUUCCUACACAAAACAUACACAAGUCCCAUUUAUUCAUACUUAGUACGAAUAUCUUUUUUCCCUGCUGAUAUCUUCACAGUGUCCUGCAGUUGCCAAUUCAUCACCAAGCAAAAGGUACGAAGUACUUAGAAGAUGGCUUAAAUUAAUAUUACAUAGAUUUCUCUAAGAAUGCUUGAAAAAGUUUAUUUUUUAAUAGAAUCUAUGAUAUCCUGACCUCAAGAACUGGCUAAGCUGACUGGAAGCUUGCACGACUGCACGUUAUAUUCUGAUCAAAUGCAUGGAUUCUGAACAGAGUUGUUAGAGUCAACAUGAAAAUUUGCUUUGCAAACGCUAAAGCAACAUUCAUGGACUGUGACAAGGCAAGUCCAGCUUAUAGUCUUUUAAUUUACUACUUUAAGCAUGUACAAUAUUCAGGGGUCCCAAAUAGAUUUUAUUCCUCCAAGGAUGAUAUGCAGAACUAUGAAUUUCCAAGUACAGAAAAUGGAUUUCCGCCCAUGAGGAUUAUAAGAUUGUGAUUUGACCUGUUGAGGUUGAGCUAACAGCGAUACCUUCUGCUCUGGCAUACCCAUAUCGUCUGAUAUAUGAUUGGAUUCUUUCUAUCCUUUUCUUCCUCACCAAAAACAAAUCUUUCAUUGCCACCGCGGAUAUGCAAAUCUCUGUAGCUUUAUGCUCCCGCAUAUUGUUCUCCUUUUGACUAUGUAUUUGAGAGCAAGACAAAGACAUAUUAUCUCUUACAGUAGCUUUUUACUCUACCUAUAUCUUGACUCUGUAGCAUAUUUUCUGAAGAAGUUUCUGCUGAGUAUCUUUGCUAUAUGACUGAUUGUCAGCAUGUAAGCAUAUUAAUUCUUCAGUUAGAUUGCUUUUGUA